rnacentral:rRNA from 1 species
UACGUAGGGUGCAAGCGUUGUCCGGAAUUAUUGGGCGUAAAGAGCUCGUAGGCGGCUUGUCACGUCGGCUGUGAAAACCCGGGGCUCAACCCCGGGCCUGCAGUCGAUACGGGCAAGCUAGAGUUCGGGCAGGGGAGACGUGGAAUUCCUGGUGUAGCGGUGAAAUGCGCAGAUAUCAGGAGGAACACCGGUGGCGAAAGGCGGGUCUCUGGGGCCGAUACUGACGCUGAGGAGCGAAAAGCCGGUGGGG